rnacentral:rRNA from 1 species
GACGAACGCUGGCGGCGUGCUUAACACAUGCAAGUCGAACGGAAAGGCCCUGCUUUUGUGGGGUGCUCGAGUGGCGAACGGGUGAGUAACACGUGAGUAACCUGCCCUUGACUUUGGGAUAACUUCAGGAAACUUGGGCUAAUACCGGAUAGGAGCUCCUGCUGCAUGGUGGUGGUUGGAAAGUUUCGGCGGUUGGGGAUGGACUCGCGGCUUAUCAGCUUGUUGGUGGGGUAGUGGCUUACCAAGGCUUUGACGGGUAGCCGGCAUGAGAGGGUGACCGGCCACAUUGGGACUGAGAUACGGCCCAGAAUCCUACGGGAGGCAGCAGUGGGGAAUAUUGCACAAUGGGCGGAAGCCUGAUGCAGAAACGCCGCGUGCGGGAUGACGGCCUUCGGGUUGUAAACCGCUUUCGCCUGUGACGAAGAGUGAGUGACGGUAAUGGGUAAAGAAGCACCGGCUAACUACGUG